CUGGGCUCGAAAUGCAGAUGACAUCCGGCGAAAGCCGGCUUCCGCAAGGACGUCUGUAUAGGUGCUGCAUGGCUGUCGUCAGCUCGUGUCGUGAGAUGUUGGGUUAAGUCCCGCAACGAGCGCAACCCUCGUCCUCUGUUGCCAUCAGGUCAAGCUGGGCACUCUGAGGAGACUGCCGGUGAUAAACCGGAGGAAGGUGGGGAUGACGUCAAGUCAGCAUGGCCUUUAUGUCCAGGGCCACACACGUGCUACAAUGGCGGAUACAAAGCGUCGCAAACUCGCGAGGGUGAGCUAAUCGCAGAAAGUCCGUCUCAGUUCGGAUUGU
rnacentral:rRNA from 1 species